UACAGAGGUCUCAAGCGUUGUUCGGAUUCAUUGGGCGUAAAGGGUGCGUAGGCGGCGCGGUAAGUCGGGUGUGAAAUCUUGGAGCUUAACUCCGAAACUGCAUUCGAUACUGCCGUGCUUGAGGACUGGAGAGGAGACUGGAAUUUACGGUGUAGCGGUGAAAUGCGUAGAUAUCGGGAGGAACACCUGUGGCGAAAGCGGCGCACUGGACCAUAACUGACGCUGAGGCGCGAAAGCUAGGGGAGCAAACAGG
rnacentral:rRNA from 1 species